UACGAAGGGUGCAAACGUUGCUCGGAAUCAUUGGGCGUAAAGCGCACGUAGGCGGCUUCAAAAGUCGGAUGUGAAAUCCCGUGGCUCAACCAUGGACGUGCAUUCGAAACUGCGAAGCUUGAGUAUGGAAGAGGGUCGCGGAAUUCCCGGUGUAGAGGUGAAAUUCGUAGAUAUCGGGAGGAACACCAGUGGCGAAGGCGGCGACCUGGGCCAAUAUUGACGCUGAGGAGCGAAAGCCAGGGGAGCAAACGGG
rnacentral:rRNA from 1 species